rnacentral:rRNA from 1 species
UGGGGAAUUUUGGACAAUGGGCGCAAGCCUGAUCCAGCCAUGCCGCGUGCGGGAAGAAGGCCUUCGGGUUGUAAACCGCUUUUGUCAGGGAAGAAAAGGUUCUGGCUAAUACCUGGGACUCAUGACGGCACCUGAAGAAUAAGCACCGGCUAACUACGUGCCAGCAGCCGCGGUAAUACGUAGGGUGCAAGCGUUAAUCGGAAUUACUGGGCGUAAAGCGUGCGCAGGCGGUUAUGCAAGACAGAGGUGAAAUCCCCGGGCUCAACCUGGGAACUGCCUUUGUGACUGCAUGGCUAGAGUACGGUAGAGGGGGAUGGAAUUCCGCGUGUAGCAGUGAAAUGCGUAGAUAUGCGGAGGAACACCGAUGGCGAAGGCAAUCCCCUGGACCUGUACUGACGCUCAUGCACGAAAGCGUGGGGAGCAAACAGGAUUAGAUACCCUGGUAGUCCACGCCCUAAACGAUGUCAACUGGUUGUUGGGAGGGUUUCUUCUCAGUAACGUAGCUAACGCGUGAAGUUGACCGCCUGGGGAGUACGGCCGCAAGGUUGA